ensembl:rRNA 5S_rRNA 5S ribosomal RNA
GUCUAUGGCCAUACCACCCUGAACGCGCCCGAUCUCGUCUGAUCUCGGAAGCUAAGCAGGGUCGGGCCUGGUUAGUACUUGGAUGGGAGAUUUAGUGAGAUUCUUAUACAAUAUUUC